GUCAUCCUUGUCAGCUCCUCACUCAGUGACCGGGACCAGAGCCUAUUCCUCAGCGCAGACGAAGGCGCCACCUUUCAGAAGCAGCCCAUUCCCUUCUUCGUGGAAACUCUGAUUUUCCACCCUAAGGAGGAGGACAAGGUCCUCGCCUACACAAAGGAGAGCAAGCUCUACGUGUCAUCUGACUUGGGGAAAAAGUGGACACUUCUGCAAGAGCGAGUGACCAAAGACCACGUGUUCUGGUCUGUGUCUGGGGUGGACGCUGACCCUGA
rnacentral:sRNA from 1 species